rnacentral:tRNA from 1 species
GCCAAUGUAGCUCAGCCUGGUAGAGCAUUCGCCUUGUAAGCGAAAGGUCGAGGGUUCAAAGCCCUCCAUUGGCU